CCAGGCGCAAGAAUUGCCAAUGGAUCAUAUCUGGAUUUCCUCCUCACAAAUUCUCCCCACUUGUCCCCGAAAUGGGAUCUCCACUCUUCUCUUGUCGUGUAAUGUGGCAGAUACUGCUUCAACCCUAUCCCUGCUUCUUCACUGAAUUCCAGUAUUCUUCUGUUCCGCCUCAAGAUCUCUUCUACUCCAUCCUUUCCUGCCGACCCUGGAGAUGCCGAUGUUAGGAUCGCCACCAGGCUUUUGACUCAGAUGAAGCGCAAAAAGGAUUGGUUCCUGUAUCAUCCGUGAGAGUAAAAGAAUGGUGGAACGUGCAAGGGAAAAAAUCCUUGUGCUCUCUGUGGGAAAAUAGGAGGCAAUUUCACUAGUGUUGGGACCCAACAACACAAUCCUUGUAAACUAAAAGAGGCUGUGGCAGCUCAAAGCAAAGCAACCAAUGAGUAAGUCUUCCUGUUACCUGACUGAUUUAAGGCCUCCCAUUGCAGCUAGCUGACAAAACUAAAUGAAUCAUCUCUUCUUUUCUUAAAUUCUUUUGAUCAGACAUUAUGAUAAAAGAUUAGCUUUAUAUUAUGCUUUAGUUAACUUUUGCUAAACAUCGGGCAGGUGGAUAACAGAGAGGGACUCACUGCUUCUUCAGAUAGAAUCAUCUGGAGUGGUCCAUUUAUUUUUAUUACUACUUACUAUCUCUUUGGCACGAGUUACUUUCAGUUUCUUCAAGAUUAGGAUCAUUCUUCAAUGGAGCCAGCAAUAGUAAUCAGAAAGGUAUAAAAAUGUUAUGGAGAAGGAUUAAAAAAGAAAAGAGAGAGAGAGAGAGAGAGACUGGUGACAAAAGGUGGCCCAGUGGAGAUUGUGCACCCAUUAGAAAUCUCGAGUGUAGGAGUAGGGUCAAAGAGAGAUGAUGGUUUGACCAGUCCAGUUUUGAACAGAGAGUGAAGAAAGAAGUUGGGCUCUUCUCAACUCCAUUGGUGCGGUGGUGGGCAUUGCAGAAUGAGGUGUGUGAACUGAAAACAGAGUUGGUGGAAAUGGUUGGUCUCUAGAAGCAGAGGAGAAGCGACCAGAGAGCACUAGCGGGAGAGUCGUGGGGCAUAGCUUGUCCCAAGCAAAAUCUUGGUCCCAAUAUAAAAUAUGCCUUUGAACAUUUGUCAGCCAAAGUGUCGAAGGGACGGCUAUGGUGGUGUUGGAAGUGGAUUGGUCCACGACUGUGACCUCUCUGCUGACUUGUCACCUUAUACUAUAAUUGGUGCGUUCUUCCCACCUUCACGUGGCUUUGUUCCCCCAUUAACGUUUUUUUUUCCACCUCAAAAAAAAUAAAAGUGUGUGUUGUGUCUAC
rnacentral:lncRNA from 1 species